rnacentral:rRNA from 1 species
AUGGACGAAAGUCUGACGGAGCAACGCCGCGUGAGCGAUGAAGGUCUUCGGAUCGUAAAGCUCUGUUGUUAGGGAAGAACAAGUACAAGAGUAACUGCUUGUACCUUGACGGUACCUAACCAGAAAGCCACGGCUAACUACGUGCCAGCAGCCGCGGUAAUACGUAGGUGGCAAGCGUUGUCCGGAAUUAUUGGGCGUAAAGCGCGCGCAGGCGGUCCUUUAAGUCUGAUGUGAAAGCCCACGGCUUAACCGUGGAGGGUCAUUGGAAACUGGGGGACUUGAGUACAGAAGAGGAGAGUGGAAUUCCACGUGUAGCGGUGAAAUGCGUAGAGAUGUGGAGGAACACCAGUGGCGAAGGCGACUCUCUGGUCUGUAACUGACGCUGAGGCGCGAAAGCAUGGGUAGCGAACAGGAUUAGAUACCCUGGUAGUCCAUGCCGUAAACGAUGAGUGCUAGGUGUUAGGGGGUUUCCGCCCCUUAGUGCUGAAGUUAACGCAUUAAGCACUCCGCCUGGGGAGUACGGCCGCAAGGCUGAAACUCAAAAGAAUUGACGGGGGCCCGCACAAGCGGUGGAGCAUGUGGUUUAAUUCGAAGCAAC